CCGUCCCGCUCGCCGCGGCCUCCUCUCCUCCCCCGCGCCCCCCUUCUCCCACCUCACCGCCGCCUCCUCUCCCCUCCCGCGCCCCCCUCGCCCUGCCCGUCCAAGCUCAGGGUCGAGGGGCGCGAGCCCUCGCGCGACGAAAACCCUAGCCGCCCCCGUCGCUCCUUGGUCCUUGCAGCCUCAGCCUCAGCCGCCGCCGCGCCCCUGUCCCCCUUUCCUCCCCGUUCCUCUCCUGCCGCCGUUCGCCUACUCUGCCCGGUCGUGCUCCCUUCGCCUCCUCCGCCUAGAUGUGCGACUCGAGCCGGCAAGAUCCAGCCAUAUGGCAGCCAACUCUGCCCUUCCCGAGCCUGGCGACGAAGGGGUUGGUGAGCGCGGUGGUGGCCAUGGAUGAACUCGAGCCCGGGCGUGUUGGUGGAGGCAUCUAUCUACCUCAGGGCAGCGAGCUGGAGCUGGGCCUGGACAAGGGAGUAAGCUUUUCCAAGCACUUCUUCGCCAAGUACGAGCUCGGCAAGGAGGUCGGAUGUGGCCACUUAGGAUACACCUGCGCCGCCAAGGCCUAGAAGGGCGAGCACAAGGCCAGGACAUCGCUGUCAAGGUCAUCCCCAAGGACAAGUUGUGCGUGCUUCACCUUGGCUCGCCUUUGCUCAAUUUUGGUGCACUACUAGAUUAUGAAUCUCUAAACCAGUUGGGGCUUGUGAUUGGUGUUUAUGUUAGUUGGGUGCAGAUAAUGAGAAACAUAGUAAGGUACGAAUGCUACUAAUUUGUUCCUCACAUGCAUAGACAUAAAGAAAGGUGAGGAUCCACAUGUGCGUAUGUUCUAUCAUUUUUCCCUAACAAAAUUUUCAGCAAAUAGCUAGGGUCAAAAAUGCAAAGCAGUUGAACUAGAAAAUUGUGUACCACAUGAGCAGUAUAUAACGAUGGAUUGUUAUCGUGGGUGAAAGCAGUUUAUCACGAUGGCAUUGUUACGAUUUUCCCGCCAAUUAAAUUUGGCCAAGAUGCUUCCUUUCCAUAAUAAAUUUUCUUCCGACCAACUGACUUUAUUUUGUGUAUCUCCUUUUAGUUUGUUGAAUCAGGCUUGCCAACUAAGCAAAACCAAGAUACGAAACCAUGCCAAACAAAAGAGAAACCACUGAAACUUUAUAUAUUUUUGAGCUGUACAGUAGGGUAACUUCCCACAGCUAUUUUUAUUAAAAGCAAGCCAAAACUAUUUUUUGCGAUGUGUACAGGAGGAAUGUAGGUGAAAUUGUAUUUGAUGCAUAUUCCCUUUGUUCUGACUUCUGUUUGAUACAUACUCUAUUUUAGAAAAUAUAUAGGAUAUAGCCAAUAGGACAAGUUUAUGGUUACAUUUAUCUUUACGAUGCUUAUACGAAGAAUGUAGAGAAAAAUAUAUUUCACAUGUCAUUUCAGUUUCUGAAUUUUCCCUCGACUUUUAAUUUUUUUCAUAUAUUUUCUUUUUAUAUUGUUUAUAUUGCACAAUGAUAAGGUUUCCUUAUUUCAUAUUUUAAGAUACCAUCUGCUAGGUCAUCUCAUAGGCUCAUAGCUCUUUUUGUUUGUGUUUGAAUAUAUUUUAUGAUUGAAAAUUUGAUGUGGGACUGGGAAAAUCUCAGUUCUAAGUACAUGAUUCUUCUAUUUUUUUCAUGGUGUUGAAUGUCCUCAUAUAUACCCGUUUGUUAUGUUUAUAUCCUAUAAAUAAUGAAAUGGUUUAUAUAGAAAGUUUUUAUGUUUUAGUUAUAGUAUGUUGUCGAUGAUGUGUUUGGUCUGGAACAUGGAGAUUAACAUUAAAGUUUUCGUAUCUUCUAUCUUUAUGCUUUGUUAUUUACUUUAUGCAACCCAGAUUUUCCUAUUUUGCACUGCCACUGGCUUGCUUUCGGUGUCGUAUGACCCAACUCUUUUUGCUGAACUUGACGCAGAUCAAUUGUCCUGUCUUGCUUUUGAAACAUAUUCAGGCCCUCUCUCUCUCUCUGACUGUUACUGCAUCCAUCAUCUAGGAACCGCUACUCUUGUGUAAUAUUUUUUGUUCGAUUUGUUAUCUACCGGUGCUCAUCUAGGUCUUCUGUUGCCGUUCGAUUUGUUGCUGUUCUAGGGUUAGGAUUUGCUAUUGGAUUGGUGACUGCCGUGAGUUGAUAACAUAUCAGGUUACUAGCUAGCCAUUUACAGUAUUUGCUUAAUCUGCUGAUGUGUGUUGUUUGUACUUCCUUCCCGGUCUCCUAACUAAUCUGCAUAAGUAUUUAUUAGUAUUUUGUGCUAAAAUGUAAUUAGUGCCCAACAAACUCUGUUUUUUGUUUCCGUCGUUUCCCUUUGGACCUUCAACAUUCCUGGGACUUAGUUGUGCCGGGAUGUAGUCGAGGUACCAAAUGAUUGUAUUUGUGGCGUGGUUUCUAUUUACAUCCUUCCACUAUUCCUAUCUUUGUUUUGUUAUUUUUAUUAUUUCAGACAACGGUAUACACCACCUUGACGAAAAUAUAUUUACCUAAAGGUUUUAUUUGUUUGGAUACAACCUCUGAAUUCAAAAGCAAAACAUGGAUGUCGUGAUAGGCUAGCCCGGACCUUCACGGACUUGGAUAUGGGGCUAGAGAUCGUAGACCUGAUUUUGAGGGAAACACCGCCCUGCCAAAAAGCCAACCGGCCGAGCUAGCCACACUGUGAAAGGGCCGAGCAACAACAACCUGAUAUACAUCAGUCGACAAUGAAGGUAUGCGUAUA